AUGCAGGAGUUUUGGAGUAUAUACAAACUAGUUGAUGAUUCUCCUGCCCAAAUAAUUGAAGUUGAUCGUAUUCUUGAAAAUUCUGCAAAGAGACAAUUUAGGCAGAUGUGGUACCAAGCCCGUAAGGAAGCCGUCAAACUGUACUAUAAGGAUAUUGUUAAGGAGCCCAUCAAAGAUCAUGAAGCAUGUCAAAAAGAGCUUACCAAAAACCAAUACAUGCAAGCUCAGCUUUAUUGGUGCAUUGAUCAUGAAGUGUGGGAAAGCAUAUGUGACUAUUGGUGCUCCUCUAAAUUCGAGGGGUUGCGGAACCUUGGCCGAGUGUCACGCUUCAAGUCAGAGGAUAUUGCACAAAAUCGGGGUGGUUCACGAUCAUUUGUUCAGACCCAAAGCAUGUUGGGAAAAGAGCAUGGGCUUGCAGCAGCAACAAACAUGAACACUUACAAGUGCAUGAAGGGAGGAGUUAAAAAUUGUACCGAGAGUGGAGAAAGUGGCCCCAUCAACAACACUAAGGUCAACGAGCGUCUUAACACCUAUUACACAGCUCUGAAAGCAGCAGAUCCACUACAUUGGAAGGACCGUGAUCUCGAUCCAGAAAUCAUGUACUCCUCCAGUGGUGGCAUGCCCCAUGGGCGACUAGCAAUAGGUGAUGGUGCUAUAAAGAAAGCAGUGGUAGUUGCAAAAGCUAGAGAGAAUGACACAAGGCCAUCAAACUCCAUAUCAUACCAUUGUUUAUUGAAGGAAAAUGCUCAACUUAAAAGGCGCUGCAAGAAUAAUUUUGUUCUGAGCAAACAUGUACAGGGGUUUUAUGGCAAGCUAGGAUGGGAAGUACCCGAAGAUCUUCUUGCCUACCAAGAUGAGCUGAUGGAUGGCGGUGAUCUGGUGAAUGAAAUACCCCAGGCCCAAGAGGAUGGUGGUACUCCAAUGGCAGAUUCUUCACAUGAUGAAAGGCAUGUUGAUGCUGGUACUCAAAUGGAUGAUCAUGGUUCUGGUCCGACACAUGAAAAUCAUUUAGGAAUGCCAUAG
rnacentral:rRNA from 1 species